AGCUAGUAUGGUGUAGUGGUUUGAGUGUUGGACUAGAACUUUGAACCAGGGUUCAAUUCCCUGAUUGGCCA